GGUGAGAUGGCUCAGCUGGUAAGAGUACCAAACUGCUCUUCUGAAGGUUCUGGGUUCAAAUCCCAGCAACCA
rnacentral:tRNA from 2 species